rnacentral:rRNA from 1 species
GACGAACGCUGGCGGCGUGCCUAAUACAUGCAAGUAGAACGCAGUUGCGAACGGGUGAGUAACGCGCAGGUAAAUGCCUGGUAGAGGGGGCUAAAUCUUGGAAACGAUAGCUCAUACCGCCUACUACCAGAUGGACCUGCGUUGUAUUAGCUAGUUGGUGGGGUAACGGCGCACCAAGGCAACGAUUCAUAGCCGGCCUGAGAGGGUGAUCGGCCACACUGGGACUGAGGCCCCGCCCAGGCCCCCACCGGAGGCCGCAGUUGGGAAACUUCGGACAUGGGGGGAACCCUGACCGGGCAACGCCGGCGUAGGUAAGAAGGGUUUUGGGUCGGAAAGCCCUGUUUUUUAGGAAGCGGUACUUAACCAGAAAGCGACGGCUAACUACGUGCCAGCAGCCGCGGUAAUUC